rnacentral:rRNA from 1 species
AUUGAACGCUGGCGGCAGGCUUAACACAUGCAAGUCGAGCGGAGAUGAGGUGCUUGCACCUUAUCUUAGCGGCGGACGGGUGAGUAAUGCUUAGGAAUCUGCCUAUUAGUGGGGGACAACAUUCCGAAAGGAAUGCUAAUACCGCAUACGCCCUACGGGGGAAAGCAGGGGAUCUUCGGACCUUGCGCUAAUAGAUGAGCCUAAGUCGGAUUAGCUAGAUGGGGGGGUAAAGGCCUACCAAGGCGACGAUCGGUAGCGGGUCUGAGAGGAUGAUCCGCCACACUGGGACGGAGACACGGCCCAGACUCCUACGGGAGGCAGCAGUGGGGAAUAUUGGACAAUGGGCGGAAGCCUGAUCCAGCCAUGCCGCGUGUGUGAAGAAGGCCUUUUGGUUGUAAAGCACUUUAAGCGAGGAGGAGGCUACCUGGAUUAAUACUCUAGGAUAGUGGACGUUACUCGCAGAAUAAGCACCGGCUAACUCUGUGCCAGCCGCCGCGGUAACAC